rnacentral:misc_RNA from 1 species
GGUACAACCUACUACCUCAUU